GAUGAACGCUGGCGGCGUGCCUAAUACAUGCAAGUCGAGCGAACAGACGAUGAUCUUGCGGCGCGCACGUUAGCGGCGGACGUGUGAGUAACACGUGUAUAACCUACUUGUAAUACGGGUAUAUUUUCGGGAAACCGGAUCUAAUACCGGAGAAUAUCUUGAACCGCGUUGGUCAAUAGAGAAAUACGGUUUUGCUGGCUGUUCUAGAUGGAUCCGCGCCGCUUUAGCUAGUUGGUAAGUUAACGGCUUACCAAGGCAAGGAUGCGUAGCCGACCUGAGAGGGUGAUAGGCCACACUGGAACUGAGACACGGUCCAGACUCCUACGGGAGGCAGCAGUAGGGAAUCUUCCGCAAUGGGCGAAAGCCUGACGGAGCAACGCCGCGUGAGUGAUGAAGGUCUUCGGAUCGUAAAACUCUGUUAUUAGGGAAGAACAAAUGUGUAAGUAACUAUGCACGUCUUGACGGUACCUAAUCAGAAAGCCACGGCUAACUACGUG
rnacentral:rRNA from 1 species